rnacentral:misc_RNA from 1 species
AAAAUGCGUUACCUAGUGUGACAUGCAUACACUCGUGAAUCACCGACAUCUUGAACGUAACUGACAAAGCUAGCUUACGCUUGCUUUAAUCACGGUCGAGUGUCAAUAAUUAAACCACAAAAGUGAGCGUUCGAUCUAACCCGUCGUCGCUUUAAAUUUAACCGUUAUAUACUGUAUGGGCUAAAAUUACCCCCAUAACAAACACCAGUAUGUAUUCGGGAUUGUUAAACCCGUGUAUUCGGGUGAAAAUUAUUGAUUCUUCGGAUAAAUUUGACCUCGGCCGUGAUAGACUACCCGCUGAAUUUAA